UUAAUUGAAGAGUUUGAUCAUGGCUCAGAUUGAACGCUGGCGGCAGGCCUAACACAUGCAAGUCGAGCGGCAGCACAGAGAAACUUGUUUCUCGGGUGGCGAGCGGCGGACGGGUGAGUAAUGCCUGGGAAAUUGCCCUGAUGUGGGGGAUAACCAUUGGAAACGAUGGCUAAUACCGCAUGAUAGCUUCGGCUCAAAGAGGGGGACCUUCGGGCCUCUCGCGUCAGGAUAUGCCCAGGUGGGAUUAGCUAGUUGGUGAGGUAAGGGCUCACCAAGGCGACGAUCCCUAGCUGGUCUGAGAGGAUGAUCAGCCACACUGGAACUGAGACACGGUCCAGACUCCUACGGGAGGCAGCAGUGGGGAAUAUUGCACAAUGGGCGCAAGCCUGAUGCAGCCAUGCCGCGUGUGUGAAGAAGGCCUUCGGGUUGUAAAGCACUUUCAGUCGUGAGGAAGGUG
rnacentral:rRNA from 1 species